rnacentral:rRNA from 1 species
AACGAACGCUGGCGGCAUGCCUAACACAUGCAAGUCGAACGAGACCUUCGGGUCUAGUGGCGCACGGGUGGGUAACGCGUGGGAACCUGCCCGUAGGUACGGUAUACCUCCCCGUAAGGGGUGCUAAUACAGGUUAAUCUAUUCGGGGCAAAGAUGUAUUGCCUUAGGAUGGGCCCGGGUUGGUUUAGGUGGUUGGUAGGGUAAAAGCCUGCCAAGGGGACGAUGCAUAGCUGGUCGGAGAGGAUGAUCAGCCGCGCUAGGGCUGAGACACGGCCCAGACUCCUACGGAGCGGAGCAGUGUGGAAUAUUAGACGAGGGGGGAAAGCCUAACACAGCAACGCCGGGUAAGUGAGGAAGGGGUUAGGGUUGUAAAGCUCUCUGACCCGGGAUGAUAAUGACAGUACCGGGUGAAUAAGCACCGGCUAACUCCGUG